rnacentral:rRNA from 1 species
GAUGAACGCUGGCGGCGUGCCUAAUACAUGCAAGUCGAGCGAACAGACGAGGAGCUUGCUCCUCUGACGUUAGCGGCGGACGGGUGAGUAACACGUGGAUAACCUACCUAUAAGACUGGGAUAACUUCGGGAAACCGGAGCUAAUACCGGAUAAUAUAUUGAACCGCAUGGUUCAAUAGUGAAAGACGGUUUUGCUGUCACUUAUAGAUGUAUCCGCGCCGCAUUAGCUAGUUGGUAAGGUAACGGCUUACCAAGGCAACGAUGCGUAGCCGACCUGCGAGGGUGAUCGGCCACACUGGAACUGAGACACGGUCCAGACUCCUACGGGAGGCAGCAGUAGGGAAUCUUCCGCAAUGGGCGAAAGCCUGACGGAGCAACGCCGCGUGAGUGAUGAAGGUCUUCGGAUCGUAAAACUCUGUUAUUAGGGAAGAACAAAUGUGUAAGUAACUAUGCACGUCUUGACGGUACCUAAUCAGAAAGCCACGGCUAACUACGUG